rnacentral:rRNA from 1 species
GAUGAACGCUGGCGGCGUGCCUAAUACAUGCAAGUCGAGCGAACGGACGAGAAUCUUGCUUCUCUGAUGUUAGCGGCGGACGGGUGAGUAACACGUGGAUAACCUACCUAUAAGACUGGGAUAACUUCGGGAAACCGGAGCUAAUACCGGAUAAUAUUUUGCACCGCAUGGUUCAAAAGUAAAAGACGGUCUUGCUGUCACUUAUAGAUGGAUCCGCGCUGCAUUAGCUAGUUGGUAAGGUAACGGCUUACCAAGGCAACGAUGCAUAGCCGACCUGAGAGGGUGAUCGGCCACACUGGAACUGAGACACGGUCCAGACUCCUACGGGAGGCAGCAGUAGGGAAUCUUCCGCAAUAGGCGAAAGCCUGACGGAGCAACGCCGCGUGAGUGAUGAAGGUCUUCGGAUCGUAAAACUCUGUUAUUAGGGAAGAACAUAUGUGUAAGUAACUGUGCACAUCUUGACGGUACCUAAUCAGAAAGCCACGGCUAACUACGUG